rnacentral:lncRNA from 1 species
UUGUAUUUUACUUGGUCUAUAAUCUAUAUAUAAUAUUUUGAAACACAUCUAAAACUCAGCUCAUAAUUAUUACAAACCGUUGAUAUUAAGUAACAUUCUUCAUUUCCAUUUCUUUCAGUAGAGCUAUCCUUGUAUUUGUCCUACCUAUCAAGAUGAAUGAAAUACAGUACUAAAUUCUCCUUUAAAUUGACCCAGGAAUAACAGCAAUAAGAUGAAAAAUGAUGAUGAUAAUAAUAUUUCUGGUUUGCACCACACUGUAAUCAGGAGAGAUCUCCUUGACCAGUAUGUCUAGUAAAUCAAUUUUAUCAAAUUCAGUGUCUACCUGAGUUGCAUUUGUUUUGUGCUUGGAUUAUAGAAGUAAAACAAAGUCACCAUCCCUGCUUUACUGAACUUGGUGACUACCUUGGUUUCACCAACAGUGAGAGUAAGCUUGAUGCUGAAAUGCAGGAUGCAGAAUAUGAAAAUCAAGCCAAAAGUGAGAAUAAUUCCAGCCAACAGGGAAAGCAGAAAAGACAGGAAAGUGUUUAGGAUACUCAUGGUUGUAAGUGUCUUGAUGGAGCAGAAGCAGAAUGAUGUACUUCAGAGAGCACUACAUCUCAGUGUUGGCAUUCUGGUGACCUGUCCUUAAGCCACAGGCCGCAUCUUCUGUCUAAGUGUAUUGGAAGUUCUGCCACAUCACGAUCGGUGGCAUAGGGACAACAUAGAAACCUCCUGCAUACCUGAUAUGCCUGUGCAGUUCCCAGCCAUUACAGGACAUCUUUCAGAAUGAAGAUGAUGAAGGUCUAGUGGUAUGAUGACCAGAGAUGGGGAGAGUAACAGCUGGAAAGACAAAGACAAAACUCACCGUAUUCAUAUCAACUGUUCCUGUAACACCACCAUCAACUGAAGGAUUAGAAGAGGGAAAUGCCCUUGAAAAGGGGAACUGUGAAGAGACUAUUCCUGGAAAGCUGUAUCUGGGCAGUGAAAAGGAGCAAGUAGGCAUUAUCAGCUUCCAUCACCCAGUGAAGUUGUCUCCAGGCAAUGAUCAAAGGAAAUUGUGCAGCUGCCUUUUAAGUCUAUUACACAACAAGAAUUCCAGGAUUUUGAUUUCAUUUCAGAGAAUAAGCAAGCCUCCAGUGCAGAGUUCAUGGACAAAAACGUAUUUAGUAUUACAAAAUCUGUCUUGA